AGCAGCCGCGGUAAUUCCAGCUCCAAUAGCGUAUAUUAAAGUUGUUGCAGUUAAAAAGCUCGUAGUUGAAUUUCGGGGUUAGUAGGUUGGUCAUGCCUCUGGUAUGUACUGGUCUCACUGAUUCCUCCUUCCUGAUGAGCCGUAAUGCCAUUAAUUUGGUGUUGCGGGGAAUUUGGACUGUUACUUUGAAAAAAUUAGAGUGUUUAAAGCAAGCUAACGCUUGAAUACAUUAGCAUGGAAUAAUGAAAUAGGACGUUCGAUCCUAUUUUGUUGGUUUCUAGGAUUGACGUAAUGAUUAAUAGGGAUAGUUGGGGGCAUUAGUAUUCAAUCGUCAGAGGUGAAAUUCUUGGAUUUAUUGAAGACUAACUACUGCGAAAGCAUUUGCCAAGGAUGUUUUCAUUAAUCAAGAACGAAAGUUAGGGGAUCGAAGACGAUCAGAUACCGUCGUAGUCUUAACCAUAAACUAUGCCGACUAGGGAUCGGAUGAUGUUAAUUUUUUAAUGACUCAUUCGGCGCCUUACG
rnacentral:rRNA from 1 species